rnacentral:tRNA from 1 species
GGCAAGAUACCCAAGUUGGUGAAGGGGGCUAGUUGCUAACUAGCUAGCCCUAUAAAGGCGCAAGGGUUCGAGUCCCUUUCUUGCCGCCA